rnacentral:rRNA from 1 species
CCUACGGGAGGCAGCAGUGGGGAAUAUUGCACAAUGGGGGAAACCCUGAUGCAGCGACGCCGCGUGAGUGAAGAAGUAAUUCGUUAUGUAAAGCUCUAUCAGCAGGGAAGAAAAUGACGGUACCUGAGUAAGAAGCCCCGGCUAACUACGUGCCAGCAGCCGCGGUAAUACGUAGGGGGCAAGCGUUAUCCGGAUUUACUGGGUGUAAAGGGAGCGUAGACGGCAGUGCAAGUCUGGAGUGAAAGGCGGGGGCUCAACCCCCGGACUGCUCUGGAAACUGUACGGCUGGAGUGCAGGAGAGGGCAGUGGAAUUGCGAGUGGAGCGGUGAAAUGCGUAGAUAUUUGGGGGAACACCAGUGGCGAAGGCGGAUUACGGGACUAAGACUGACGUUGAGGCUCGAAAGCGUGGGGAGCAAACAGGAUUAGAUAUACCUGUAGUC